rnacentral:tRNA from 1 species
GCCUGGAUGGCUCAAUUGGUUAAGCACCUGACUUCGGAUCGGGUCAUGGUCUUGGGGUUCGUGAGUUCAAGCCCCACAUCGGGCC